rnacentral:rRNA from 1 species
CAACCAGACUCCUACGGGAGGCAGCAGUGGGGGAUAUUGCACAAUGGGGGGAACCCUGAUGCAGCGACGCCGCGUGGGUGAAGGAGUAUUUCGGUAUGUAAAGCCCUAUCGGCAGGGAAGAAGCAAGACGGUACCUGACUAAAAAGCCCCGGCUAACUACGUGCCAGCAGCCGCGGUAAUACGUAGGGGGCGAGCGUUAUCCGGAUUCACUGGGUGUAAAGGGAGCGUAGACGGCCAAGCAAGCCAGGGGUGAAAGCCCGGGGCCCAACCCCGGGACUGCUCUUGGAACUGCGCGGCUGGAGUGCAGGAGGGGCAGGCGGAAUUCCUGGUGUAGCGGUGAAAUGCGUAGAUAUUAGGAGGAACACCAGUGGCGAAGGCGGUCUGCUGGACAGCAACUGACGCUGAGGCGCGAAAGCGUGGGGAGCAAACAGGAUUAGAUACCCGGGUA